UACAGAGGGUGCGAGCGUUGUCCGGAAUCACUGGGCGUAAAGGGCGCGUAGGUGGCGACCCAAGUCGAUGGUGAAAGCUCGCCGCUCAACGGCGAGUCGGCCACUGAUACUGGGUUGCUGGAGCACUGUAGAGGCAGAUGGAAUUCCGGGUGUAGCGGUGGAAUGCGUAGAGAUCCGGAAGAACACCGGUGGCGAAGGCGGUCUGCUGGGCAGCUGCUGACACUGAGGCGCGACAGCGUGGGGAGCAAACAGG
rnacentral:rRNA from 1 species